AAAGGAUUCCCUCCUCUUCACUGGCUCUUUGAUCUACAAAGUAACUUAUCAAAAACUUUGCUGUUGUUUUAUGACCAAAAAGAGAGCAGUGUCACUCCUGCAAAGGAAGAAGAGGAGAAAAAGAUAGAGGCUUUACUCUGCAGCAACUUUAGGAAGCCUAUACCCUGUGACAAGGAGAGCAUCAAGUAGGCUACCAGUUUAACUGACUCUGAUCUAUAUUAUAGUGAGUG